rnacentral:lncRNA from 1 species
AACCGACAACAUGGCACCGAGGUCUUCUCAAAUUUAGUGCUGCGAUGGCACAAAUGUCUGAACCCCUGAGGGGGCUAUGUGGAAAAAUAGUGUAAGGUGCGUAGAACAGUAGGUAUAUUUGUAAUUGCCUGUAUGUACCUUAUUUUGGCCAAUAAAAAAUAGGGGCAAAUACUUUAU